rnacentral:lncRNA from 1 species
UUCCGAAGAGCAGAGCUUUCUAGACUAGGUCACUGUGCUAUUCUCCUCAUGAUACAGGUUAACACAAGAGUUGAAUAUAGACUCUCAUUAGAAAAUAUGUAACAUUUCAAAUGCUACAAUUAAACACAGUACAAAUCUGUUCAAAAGGCCAGGAGAUGAUUAACUUUCUCUCUCACUUAUUCUCAAGCUGGAUGCAAAUCAGCGUCUUCCAAGACGAGGCAAGUGAAUAUCCCAGUAAAUUGGCAAUACAAUUUAGAUGGCAGGCAAGGAUCUCAAAGAUAAAUGACUUAAACAAAGAAGGGAAAGAUGAACCUGUCACUUCUUCUCAACUCAUCAAGCUGUCUCGCAGAGAAAGUUGAUGAUCCUGGAGCAGAAAUGUUUCUGCCAUCCCCUGAAGGUGAAGGCUCACCCGGCAAUUCUUCAAUCUGCACGUGAGGCUCCUCAACACUCUUCCACGCCAGGCAAAGCUACGGGACUUCCCUCUUCCAUCCACGUUUUUUUUAAAAGGCCCAAAUUUGGGGUUACAAAGUAAACUAACACAAUUUGUCAGUGGAAUGAAAGAAAGACCUAAGAUAAGUGCAGAUAAACAUGGUGGUAUCAAAGGAAUACGAUAAACUAUGAAGACAGAAUACAGAAAAAGUGACUGGCAAAGGAUUUUAAAACAUACAAAGAGAAAAAGGUACCACCAACAACAUGAUAGCGUGCCAGACUGAUUAUGCCAAAUUAUUCCAGCUAAAGAAACUACACAAAAUUUUAAAGAAAAAUGGAUUAUGCUAAAUUAUUCCAGCUAAAGAAACUAUACAAAAUUUUAAAGAAAAAUAGAUUAUGCUAAAUUAUUCCAGGUAAGAAACUACACAAAAUUAUAAAGAAAAAAAGAUGAGAAGAUCAAGAUAAAUGAGGAACAGGAGACGCAAGAGUUCUAAAGAAGGGAAAAUGUAAGACGUAAAGGCCAAAAGUCGAUUUUGAAAUCAGGAACCUUGAGACAGAUCCAGUUAAGUGCAAUAAUUGGUUUUCUUUUUAAAAAAUUAACACAGUUUGAUUAAUAUAGGCUUAACAACUUAUCAGGUCUAAUUUGCUUCCUAUUUUUAGAUAUGAACACCAACAGAAGAAGGAGUUUAGAAACUUCUGUAAUCUUUCCAUUUCUCACAGGCACACUCUCCUUCGGAUAGCUUCUCACUUUUAAGAAAAAUGGAUGUAUCUACCACAACUGAAGCUGUUUUCCUAUUUCCAGAAAUAAUUAUCCUUACAACAAUCUACAUAAAAAAGACAUUUUCUUCUUAAAGUGGGGGAGAGAAGAUGUCUUGGUUGGAACCUGAGAGAAUUAUUCGUCUCCUCCCUGCUCUGUUAAUAAUGAGCCAGCAGCGGUGGCCCUGUGCACGGGAAGAAGUGACAGUGACACACAGUGACACACAGCAGUCCGUCCUCUGCUUCCUAACAGGACUCUAUGAGAACAUGGUGAUGUCCUACCACAAAGAAAGCAACACCUGAUUAUCAAUAACUUCUCUGGUCCGGCCAAGGAUGAGCAAGGAACAAAGAGCUUUUAGAACAUUAAGCAUACAUCUAAAUUUAUUUGACCUGAGGAUCCAGCCUGGCCUCUCAAGAGCAGACGCUCACAUGAUAAAACGUGCUGGGAACUCACCAUGUACUCAGCAAAGGGAAGCAAAGGGGUAUUAAUCAAUGUUUUGAUUAAUUACACGUACAUAGAAUUUAAGACAAAGUAAAGGCUCUUCCAUCCCCGCAAGUCCCCAGAGAAAAUUUAUAACAGCAAAGUAUCAUCAUUACUAAAUUAGAGCGUGACCAGGUAUGUACUGGGGUUAACACUUAACUCGGGGCGGGGUGGGAGGAAGGACUAUGACACUUCUCAGUGGCCGUGAAUUAUUAAGGCUUUAUCUCCUGGCAGACAGAGAAAUCUAGGCUGACAAUAACAGAGCAAAGUACAUUUAUUUUUCUUUUUUGUCUUUAAGAAAUAGGUUCAGAAGGUAGGAAAAUAAAUGUUGUUUAAAAAGCUUUCUAUGGUAACUCGUCCUGGAAAGGACGUCAUUACACCUAUGAUUUAAGAGGACAGCUUUUUAUGCUUCCGCUAAUACAACUCACUUUUGGCUGGCACAAAAUGAUCUCACAGGAAUUCUUUCAGUCAUCAGGGCACCAAACACAGGCUAUACCGAUGCAAACCUCCUUUCGUUGAGGGUGACACACCCCAUGACAAAAUCCUGUGCCAAAGAGUGUGCUACAGUCUGGGACAGGAAUCCCAAAUUGGUUACUGCUCAUCACUGGUUGGUUCCUGGACACCUGCAGGACCUGUGGGCUCUGUCCCCACUCACCUUCUCUGUUCCCCAGCUGGCUGCAGGCAGACAGGACAAUCUCCGAUGCCCCUUCUGUUCACCCAGUCCUUUUGCUUUGUCACUACUCCUGGAGCUUUCUCUCAAACUUUCCCAGAAUUUACAGGGGAAUCUCUUCCAUAAAAAAAAAUAAAUUUGGCUCUCAGAAGGGAGCUCCAGCUUUCCCCAAACUGACAUUUUGGCACCAGAGAGGGGUGGUGGCUUCGUUUUUGUAGCCUGGUGACAAGCACAGGAGGUGAAUGAAUGGGCGAGUGAAUGCAGGCGCCAAUCACUCAGAUCAACCCACCGCAGAGAUCUCGCUCAUCUGAAUUCUCUUUCACAAGAUAAAAAGGUUAGUAAUUACUUUAGGACUGCAUCUGUUUUCUAC